GGCCAAUCCUGAUUUUCAAGGGGGCCACGGGGGCCCUCUCCUUACCCGCCUCCUAGACUCCCCCACCCCAAGGAUAACAGAAUUGAUUGGGGGAGACCCACCCAUUAUCCAGACUAUAACCAACCCACAUAGGCAAGAUACACUCAUUGAGGUAAUAGGAAGAGCACAACUUAAGGCCUUCUUGAGAAGAUCGGUCUUACCCUACUGGAGGCAGAGAGCAGACACACACUUUGAGACCCUUUGCGGCCCAGAGGGGGACCCAAAACACCCCUUAUCCAAAAUAUACCACAUUUUGCAAGACUCCGAAAGGGAACCCACAACCUUAUCAUU